rnacentral:ncRNA from 1 species
GCAAGAAUCGCAAUCUUUUGGUAGUAAUAACCCCUCAUAACAUUACUACAGGAUUUAGCAAUCGGGGAGAUACUCCUUCUCCCUGGUUGUAUGCCU